CACGUUCAUGUCCUAUUUAGCCUCUGUGGACCACAAAUAUAAAACAUUCCCAUCAAAAACCUGUCUAAUGUACUACGCAUAGCUGUCUCAGAUAGGCAUCCAACUUUAAAAAAUUGGCUCUUUAAAAGCCAGAAUAAAGAUAAAAGAUAAAUUUCACAAAUUAGGGAAGCAUAGCGUUCUUCCUGAUGCGUAAUAUUACAAGUACCCAUAAAUAGAAGUGGCCACAGCUUUGCAUUCCCAUCCAUUCUAGUGCAGUCCCAAUGGAGAUGAGAUGGGGUCAUAUUUCUUAACUUGGGUUAUGUUACAUUAGUUUGCUGGUUGGCGCAAUCCAAGUUGCAGAUGCCAAAACAGAGAUUAAUUGUGCAUAAUCAACAGGCAAGCAGUUACUCCACAGGCCACCAGUGACAACUGACAACCCAUUCAAGCCUUGGGUGCUACACAUCAGCAACAAAAGAUAAUAAGGCUCAGGGAACCUUCAGAAUCCCCCAUCACUGGAAUUUUUUUUGUAGGAUUAAAUCAGGCCCAACCGUUUCCCCUUCCAUUGGAAUUCUGCCCUCUGGAAUC
rnacentral:misc_RNA from 1 species